GAUGAACGCUGGCGGCGUGCCUAAUACAUGCAAGUCGAGCGAACAGACGAGUAUCUUGCUCCUCUGACGUUAGUGGCGGACGGGUGAGUAACACGUGGAUAACCUACCUAUAAGACUGGGAUAACUUCUGGAAACCGGAGCUAAUACCGGAUAAUAUAUUGAACCGCAUGGUUCAAUAGUGAAAGACGGUUUUGCUGUCACUUAUAGAUGGAUCCGCGCCGCAUUAGCUAGUUGGUAAGGUAACGGCUUACCAAGGCAACGAUGCGUAGCCGACCUGGGAGAGGAAACGGACCAGAUUGGAGAGGAUGAACGGCCAGACUCCGACGGGGAGCAGGAGUAGGGGAUCAUGCGGGAUAGGCGAAAGCCUGACGGAGCAACGCCGCGUGAGUGAUGAAGGUCUUCGGGUCGUAAAACACUGUUAUUAGGGAAGAACAAAUGUGUAAGUAACUAUGCACGUCUUGACGGUACCUAAUCAGAAAGCCACGGCUAACUACGUG
rnacentral:rRNA from 1 species